rfam:Gossypium arboreum cultivar AKA8401 contig_432_3, whole genome shotgun sequence.
AAUUAAAAAUUUCAUCCAUUUCUAUUGUUAAAAACUAGCAUAGCUGACAUACAGGGACCAAUUUUGAACAGUAGAAAUGGAUGAAAUUUUUAACA